ACACAUGCAGUCGAGGGGUAACAUAGAGUGCUUGCACUCUGAUGACGACCGGCGGAUGGGUGAGUAACGCGUAUACAAUCUACCUGUAACAGGGGUAUAGCCCGAAGAAAUUUGGAUUAACCCCCCAUAGUAUUGUAGACCGGCAUCGGUUUACAAUUAAAACCUUGGUGGUUAUAGAUGAGUAUGCGUCCCAUUAGUUAGUUGGUAAGGUAACGGCUUACCAAGGCAGCGAUGGGUAGGGGUCCUGAGAGGGAGAUCCCCCACACUGGUACUGAGACACGGACCAGACUCCUACGGGAGGCAGCAGUGAGGAAUAUUGGACAAUGGGAGCAAUCCUGAUCCAGCCAUGCCGCGUGCAGGAAGACUGCCCUAUGGGUUGUAAACUGCUUUGUUACAGAAGAGAAGAAUUCGCCCAUUAACGUGGUAAUGGUUUGACGGUACUCUGGGAAUAAGGAUCUGGCUAACUCCGGUGCCAGCAGCCGCGGUAAUACGGAGGAUCCGAGGCGUUAUUCCGGAAUCAUUGGGUUUAAAGGGUCCCGUAGGCGGGCAGUUAAGUCAGUGGUGGAAAGUCUGUCGCUUAACGAUAGAAUUGCCAUUGAAACUGAUUGUCUUGAGUUAUUAUGAAGUGGUUAGAAUGAGUAGUGUAGCGGUGAAAUGCAUAGAUAUUACUCAGAACACCGAUUGCGAAGGCAGAUCACUAAUAAUAUACUGACGCUGAUGGACGAAAGCGUAGGUAGCGAACAGGAUUAGAUACCCUGGUAGUCUACGCCGUAAACGAUGGUCACUAGCUGUUCGGACUAAUUGCGGUCUGAGUGGUUAAGCGAAAGUGAUAAGUGACCCACCUGGGGGAGUACGUUCGCAAGAAUGAAACUCAAAGGAAUUGACGGGGGCCCGCACAAGCGGUGGAGCAUGUGGUUUAAUUCGAUGAUACGCGAGGAACCUUACCAGGGCUUAAAUGUAGUCUGACACGUCCCCGAMAGGGGAUUUUCUUCGGACAGAUUACAAGGUGCUGCAUGGUUGUCGUCAGCUUCGUGCCGUGAGGUGUCAGGUUAAGUCCUAUAACGAGCGCAACCCCUGUGGUUAGUUGCCAGCACGUAAUGGUGGGAACUCUAGCCAGACUGCCGGUGCAAACCGCGAGGAAGGUGGGGAUGACGUCAAAUCAUCACGGCCCUUACGUCCUGGGCCACACACGUGCUACAAUGGUAGGGACAGAGAGCAGCCACUUCGCGAGAAGGAGCGAAUCUACAAACCCUAUCACAGUUCGGAUCGCAGUCUGCAACUCGACUGCGUGAAGCUGGAAUCGCUAGUAAUCGCAUAUCAGCCAUGAUGCGGUGAAUACGUUCCCGGGCCUUGUACACACCGCCCGUCAAGCCAUGAAAGCCGGGGGUACCUGAAGUCGGUUGCCGCAAGGAGCCGCCUAGGGUAAGACUGGUAAUUGGGGCUAAGUCGUAACAAG
rnacentral:rRNA from 1 species